AGUGUAGGCGGAAUUGUAAUUUAGGAGUUUAAUAUACGGGCUUAACCCGUAGUCUGCUCUUAAUACUGCAGUUCUUGAGUAUGGGAGAGGGUGAUGGAAUUCCAGGUGUAGCGGUGGAAUGCGUAGAUAUCUGGAAGAACACCAGUAGCGAAGGCGGUCGCCUGGCCCAAUACUGACGCUGAGGCUCGAAAGCUAGGGGAGCAAACA
rnacentral:rRNA from 1 species